GAUGAACGCUGGCGGUAUGCUUAACACAUGCAAGUCGAACGGUCACUUCGGUGAUAGUGGCGGACGGGUGAGUAACGCGUGAGAAUCUGUCUUCAGGUCGGGGACAACAGUUAGAAAUGACUGCUAAUACCGGAUGUGCCUUUGGGUGAAAGAUUUAUUGCCUGAAAAAGAGCUCGCGUCAGAUUAGCUAGUAGGUGGUGUAAGAGACUACCUAGGCUCCGAUCUGUAGCUGGUCUGAGAGGACGAUCAGCCACACUGGAACUGAGACACGGUCCAGACUCCUACGGGAGGCAGCAGUGGGGAAUUUUCCGCAAUAGGCGAAAGCCUGACGGAGCAAUACCGCGUGAGGGACGAAGGCUUUUGGGUCGUAAACCUCUUUUCUCAAGGAAGAUGAUGACGGUACUUGAGGAAUAAGCAUCGGCUAACUCUGUG
rnacentral:rRNA from 1 species